rnacentral:rRNA from 1 species
GAUGAACGCUGGCGGCGUGCCUAAUACAUGCAAGUCGAGCGAACGGACGAGAAGCUUGCUUCUCUGAUGUUAGCGGCGGACGGGUGAGUAACACGUGGAUAACCUACCUAUAAGACUGGGAUAACUUCGGGAAACCGGAGCUAAUACCGGAUAAUAUUUUGAACCGCAUGGUUCAAAAGUGAAAGACGGUCUUGCUGUCACUUAUAGAUGGAUCCGCGCUGCAUUAGCUAGUUGGUAAGGUAACGGCUUACCAAGGCAACGAUGCAUAGCCGACCUGAGAGGGUGGUCGGCCACACUGGAACUGAGACACGGUCCAGACUCCUACGGGAGGCAGCAGUAGGGAAUCUUCCGCAAUGGGCGAAAGCCUGACGGAGCAACGCCGCGUGAGUGAUGAAGGUCUUCGGAUCGUAAAACUCUGUUAUUGGGGAAGAACAUAUGUGUAAGUAACUGUGCACAUCGUGACGGUACCUAAUCAGAAAGCCACGGCUAACUACGUG